CCGCCCUUUUCCUACCGCUAAUCAAGCUGCCGCUUAAGAAUGGAAUUACCAACCCAAAAUCCCAGGCGGAAACGGAGGGAGGACGAGGGAAGGACGCUGGCUCCGUUCAUCUGGCGUUACCGCCGCGCUUCAAACCCAACGAGCCGCCCCGGAUCGAAUCGAUGCUUUUAUUGUUUUUCCAAACCUCAGCUUUUUUUUUUUUUGCCUUUUUUUUGCCUUUUUCUUCCUAAAAUUCCACUCCCCCUCCCUCCCCCCCAAAAAAAAAAAAACCCAAAAAACCAACCACCCACAAAAGCACCAGGCGGAGCCGCGGCCGGAGGGUUUCUCGGGGAAGGGACGGCUCCUGCGCUCUUCGUCCUAAAAUAAAAACAAAAUUUGGAGAAAAGAAGCAAAAAAAAAAAAAAAUUCAAUUUAAAAAAAAAAAAAUAAAA